AAUCAACGCUGGCGGCGUGCCUCAGACAUGCAAGUCGAACGAUUAAAGCUCUCUUCGGAGAGUGCAUAGAGUGGCGCACGGGUGAGUAACACGUAAGUAAUCUACCUUCGAGUGGGGAAUAACGUCCGGAAACGGACGCUAAUACCGCAUAAUGCAGCGGCAUCGCAAGAUGACAGUUGUUAAAGGAGCAAUUCGCUUGAAGAGGAGCUUGCGGCAGAUUAGCUAGUUGGUAAGGUAAUGGCUUACCAAGGCUACGAUCUGUAACCGGUCUAAGAGGACGGUCGGUCACACUGAC
rnacentral:rRNA from 1 species